GUGCCAGCAGCCGCGGUAAUACGGAGGAUGCAAGCGUUAUCCGGAAUUAUUGGGCGUAAAGCGUCGGUAGGUGCUUUUGCAAGUCUGCUGUUAAAGAAUGGAGCUUAACUCCAUAAGAGCGGUGGAAACUGCAAGACUAGAGUACAGUAGGGGUAGCAGGAAUUCCCAGUGUAGCGGUGAAAUGCGUAGAUAUUGGGAAGAACAUCGGUGGCGAAAGCGUGCUCCUGGGCUGAAACUGACACUGAGGGACGAAAGCUAGGGUAGCGAAAGGGAUUAGAUACCCCUGUAGUCCUAGCCGUAAACGAUGGAUACUAGGCGUGGCUUGUAUCGACCCGAGCCGUGCGGAAGCUCACGCGUUAAGUAUCCCGCCUGGGGAGUACGCACGCAAGUGUGAAACUCAAAGGAAUUGACGGGGGCCCGCACAAGCGGUGGAGUAUGUGGUUUAAUUCGAUGCAACGCGAAGAACCUUACCAAGGCUUGACAUCCCUGGAAUCCUGUGGAAACGUGGGAGUCCCUUAGGGAGCCAGGAGACAGGUGGUGCAUGGCUGUCGUCAGCUCGUGUCGUGAGAUGUUGGGUUAAGUCCCGCAACGAGCGCAACCCUCGUUUUUAGUUGCCAUCAUUAAGUUGGGCACUCUAGAGAGACUGCCGGUGACAAACCGGAGGAAGGUGGGGAUGACGUCAAGUCAUCAUGCCCCUUACGCCUUGGGCUACACACGUACUACAAUGGUCGGGACAACGGGCAGCGAGCUCGCGAGAGUAAGCGAAUCCCAUCAAACCCGGCCUCAGUUCAGAUUGCAGGCUGCAACUCGCCUGCAUGAAGGAGGAAUCGCUAGUAAUCGCAGGUCAGAAUACUGCGGUGAAUUCGUUCCCGGGCCUUGUACACACCGCCCGUCACACCAUGGGAGCUGGUCACGCCG
rnacentral:rRNA from 1 species